UACGUAGGGUGCAAGCGUUGUCCGGAAUUAUUGGGCGUAAAGAGCUCGUAGGCGGCUUGUCGCGUCGACUGUGAAACCCGCGGCUCAACUGCGGGUCUGCAGUCGAUACGGGCAGGCUAGAGUUCGGUAGGGGAGACUGGAAUUCCUGUGUAGCGGUGAAAUGCGCAGAUAUCAGGAGGAACACCGGUGGCGAAGGCGGGUCUCUGGGCCGAUACUGACGCUGAGGAGCGAAAGCGUGGGGGAGCGAACAGG
rnacentral:rRNA from 1 species